rnacentral:rRNA from 1 species
UACGAAGGGUGCAAGCGUUACUCGGAAUUACUGGGCGUAAAGCGUGCGUAGGUGGUUUGUUAAGUCUGAUGUGAAAGCCCUGGGCUCAAUCUGGGAACUGCAUUGGAAACUGGCUUACUAGAGUGCGGUAGAGGGGUGUGGAAUUCCCGGUGUAGCAGUGAAAUGCGUAGAUAUCGGGAGGAACAUCUGUGGCGAAGGCGACACCCUGGACCAGCACUGACACUGAGGCACGAAAGCUAGGGGAGCAAAUGGG